rnacentral:rRNA from 1 species
GUUGUAUGGUUAAGUGACUAAGCGUACAGGGCGGAUGCCUUGGCAAUCAGAGGCGAAGAAGGACGUGCUAAUCUGCGAAAAGCUUGGAUGAGUCGAUAAGAGGCGUUUAAUCCAAGAUGUCCGAAUGGGGAAACCCGAUGGAUGAAGAAUCCAUCAUUUCAUUGUGAAUACAUAGCAAUGAAAGGCGAACCGGGAGAACUGAAACAUCUAAGUACCCCGAGGAAAAGAAAUCAACCGAGAUUCUGUGAGUAGCGGCGAGCGAAAGCGGAAGAGCCAGUAAGUUUUAGCUAGUGUAUUAGAGGAAUUGGCUGGGAAGCCAAAUCAAAGAGGGUGAUAAUCCCGUACUCGAAAAUACGAUAGUGGAACUAAGCUUACGAUAAGUAGGGCGGGACACGAGAAAUCCUGUUUGAAGAUGGGGGGACCAUCCUCCAAGGCUAAAUACUCCUGAUUGACCGAUAGUGAACCAGUACUGUGAAGGAAAGGCGAAAAGAACCCCGGUGAGGGGAGUGAAAUAGAACCUGAAACCCUGUACGUACAAGCAGUAGGAGCCUGAAAGGGUGACUGCGUACCUUUUGUAUAAUGGGUCAGCGACUUAUAUUUUGUAGCGAGGUUAACUGAAUAAGGGAGCCGAAGGGAAACCGAGUCUUAACUGGGCGUUGAGUUGCAAGGUAUAGACCCGAAACCCGGUGAUCUAGCCAUGGGCAGGUUGAAGGUUGGGUAACACUAACUGGAGGACCGAACCGACUAAUGUUGAAAAAUUAGCGGAUGACUUGUGGCUGGGGGUGAAAGGCCAAUCAAACCGGGAGAUAGCUGGUUCUCCCCGAAAUCUAUUUAGGUAGAGCCUUGAGCGGACACCUUCGGGGGUAGAGCACUGUUUCGGCUAGGGGUCCAUCCCGGAUUACCAACCCGAUGCAAACUGCGAAUACCGAAGAGUGAUACUCAGGAGACACACGGCGGGUGCUAACGUUCGUCGUGGAGAGGGAAACAACCCAGACCGCCAGCUAAGGUCCCAAAGUCUAUAUUAAGUGGGAAACGAAGUGGGAAGGCUUAGACAGCUAGGAUGUUGGCUUAGAAGCAGCCAUCAUUUAAAGAAAGCGUAAUAGCUCACUAGUCGAGUCGGCCUGCGCGGAAGAUGUAACGGGGCUCAAAUAUAGCACCGAAGCUGCGGCAUCAGAAUUUAUUCUGUUGGGUAGGGGAGCGUUGUGUAAGCGGAAGAAGGUGGCUCGAGAGGGUUGCUGGACGUAUCACAAGUGCGAAUGCUGACAUAAGUAACGAUAAAACGAGUGAAAAACUCGUUCGCCGGAAGACCAAGGGUUCCUGUCCAACGUUAAUCGGGGCAGGGUGAGUCGGCCCCUAAGGCGAGGCUGAAAAGCGUAGUCGAUGGGAAACGGGUUAAUAUUCCCGUACUUGGUAAAGCUGCGAUGUGGGGACGGAGAAGGUUAGGUAAGCGGACUGUUGGAAAUGUCCGUUUAAGUUGGUAGUUGGGAGCGGUAGGCAAAUCCGCUGCUCCAUUCAACAACGAGAGAUGAUGACGAGGCUCUACGGAGCUGAAGUUACCGAUACCCGGCUUCCAGGAAAAGCCACUAAGCGAAAGGCUUUAUUAAACCGUACUGAAAACCGACACAGGUGGUCAGGUAGAGAAUACUCAGGCGCUUGAGAGAACUCGGGUGAAGGAACUAGGCAAAAUAGCACCGUAACUUCGGGAGAAGGUGCGCUUACAGUAAUUGUAGUCCCUUGCGGAUGAAGGUGAAGUAAGUCGAAGAUACCAGCUGGCUGCAACUGUUUAUUAAAAACACAGCACUCUGCAAACACGAAAGUGGACGUAUAGGGUGUGAUGCCUGCCCGGUGCUGGAAGGUUAAUUGAUGGUGUUAUCGAAAGAGAAGCUCCUGAUCGAAGCCCCAGUAAACGGCGGCCGUAACUAUAACGGUCCUAAGGUAGCGAAAUUCCUUGUCGGGUAAGUUCCGACCUGCACGAAUGGCAUAAUGAUGGCCAGGCUGUCUCCACCCGAGACUCAGUGAAAUUGAAAUCGCCGUGAAGAUGCGGUGUACCCGCGGCUAGACGGAAAGACCCCGUGAACCUUUACUAUAGCUUGACACUGAACAUUGAAUUUUGAUGUGUAGGAUAGGUGGGAGCCUUUGAAGCAGUGACGCCAGUCAUUGUGGAGGCGACCUUGAAAUACCACCCUUUAACGUUUGAUGUUCUAACGAAGUGCCUGAAACGGGUACUCGGACAGUGUCUGGUGGGUAGUUUGACUGGGGCGGUCUCCUCCCAAAGCGUAACGGAGGAGCACGAAGGUUUGCUAAUGACGGUCGGACAUCGUCAGGUUAGUGCAAUGGUAUAAGCAAGCUUAACUGCGAGACGGACAAGUCGAGCAGGUGCGAAAGCAGGUCAUAGUGAUCCGGUGGUUCUGAAUGGAAGGGCCAUCGCUCAACGGAUAAAAGGUACUCCGGGGAUAACAGGCUGAUACCGCCCAAGAGUUCAUAUCGACGGCGGUGUUUGGCACCUCGAUGUCGGCUCAUCACAUCCUGGGGCUGAAGUAGGUCCCAAGGGUAUGGCUGUUCGCCAUUUAAAGUGGUACGCGAGCUGGGUUUAGAACGUCGUGAGACAGUUCGGUCCCUAUCUGCCGUGGGCGUUGGAUGAUUGAUUGGGGCUGCUCCUAGUACGAGAGGACCGGAGUGGACGCAUCACUGGUGUUCCAGUUGUCUCGCCAGAGGCAUUGCUGGGUAGCUAAAUGCGGAAGAGAUAAGUGCUGAAAGCAUCUAAGCACGAAACUUGCCAAGAGAUGAGUCAUCCCUGACUUUAAGUCAGUAAGGGUUGUUUAAGACUAAGACGUAGAUAGGUUGGGUGUGUAAGUGUAGUGAUACAUUGAGCUAACCAAUACUAAUUGCCCGAGAGGCUUAACCAUACAACGCUCAAG